UACAGAGGGUGCAAGCGUUAAUCGGAAUUACUGGGCGUAAAGCGCACGUAGGCGGUUUUUUAAGUCAGAUGUGAAAGCCCCGGGCUCAACCUGGGAAUUGCAUUUGAAACUGGGAAACUAGAGUGUGUGAGAGGGGGGUAGAAUUCCAAGUGUAGCGGAGAAAUGCGUAGAGAUUUGGAGGAAUACCAGUGGCGAAGGCGGCCCCCUGGCACAACACUGACGCUCAGGUGCGAAAGCGUGGGGAGCAAACAGG
rnacentral:rRNA from 1 species